rnacentral:rRNA from 1 species
UUCCUAAGGCGUAGCUGAAGAGUGAAGUCGAUGGGAAACACGCGUUAAUAUUCCUGUGCCGCUUAUAUGAACGAAGGAGGGACGGAGAAGGUUAGGUAGGCCUGGCGAAUGGUUGUCCAGGUGAAAGUAUGUAGGUAGGGAUGCUAGGCAAAUUCGGUGUUCUGUUGAUCUGAGAUACGAGACGAAGUCAAACUUGUUUGACGAAGCUAUUGAUACCAUGCUUCCAGGAAAAGCUUCUAAGUAUAUUGUAUAAGUGACCGUACUGUAAACCGACACUGGUGGGUAGGUAGAGAAUACUAAGGCUAUGAGAUAACUCUGGUGAAGGAACUAGGCAAAAUGACACCGUAACUUUGGAAGAAGGUGUGCCCUUGAUGGUGAUGAGACUUGCUCUUUGAGCUGUUGGGGGUUGCAGAUACCAGGUGGCUGCGACUGUUUAUCAAAAACACAGCACUCUGCGAAAUCGUAAGAUGAAGUAUAGGGUGUGACGCCUGCCCGGUGCUGGAAGGUUAAUUGAAGGGGUUAGCGCAAGCGAAGCUCUGGAUCGAAGCCCCAGUAAACGGCGGCCGUAACUAUAACGGUCCUAAGGUAGCGAAAUUCCUUGUCGGGUAAGUUCCGACCUGCACGAAUGGCGUAACGAUGGCCACACUGUCUCCACCAGAGACUCAGUGAAAUUGAAAUCGCUGUGAAGAUGCAGUGUACCCGCGGUUAGACGGAAAGACCCCGUGAACCUUUACUACAGCUUUGCCACUGGACUUUGAAUAUUUAUGUGUAGGAUAGGUGGGAGACUAUGAAGCAGCUACGCCAGUAGUUGUGGAGUCGUCCUUGAAAUACCACCCUUGAAUAUUUGAAGUUCUAACUCAGGAGAGAUUCGAAGGACAGUGUAUGGUGGGGUAGUUUGACUGGGGGGCGGUCUCCUCCCUAAAGAGAAACGGAGGGAGUACCAAAGUUGCACUUCGGUACGGUUCUGGAAUUCGUGCCCAAGAAUAUAAAAGGGCAAAAAGUGCUGCUUUGACUCCGAGAAGUGAACAGCCUCCGAGUCCAGUACCGAAAAUCAUGCUCUUUAACUAUCCCCGUGGGUCUCAACAUGGGAAGGGACCAUUCGCUCAAACGUGAUAAACAGUGGUACUCCCGGGGGUAUUACAGGGCUUGAUUUU